rnacentral:lncRNA from 1 species
UUAGAACCCCGCGAGGCAGGGUGAGGGGCGCCACCGAGGAAGCGCCCACCGGGCUCCCGGGGCUGCCAGGCCCCAAAUUGAGGAAGUUGACUGCCAGAUCACACUCUGUUGGCCCACGCAGAUAGAUUCCAUUCAUCCUUUCUAAUGUCUACACCAUAUUUUGGAUAACAUGCCAUCAUCUCACAUUGUGUUGAAAGAAGAAACCAGAAUGUUGGGGUUGAUGUAUGCCAUAUGGAUGAAUUUAAACAGUUUCGGCCUUGCAAUAAUUGGUAUACUUCUAAUUGCAUGUGAAAUUAUACUCUUUUUAACGAAAGAUGAAACUAUUCAGUGGCCACAUGUACCCAGUAACAGAGGGAGCAAAGCAAAUCUUAUCCUCAAAGAACUGCAGCUGCUUGUUAGAUCUACCUGGUGGUUCCAUAGAGAAACUGCUCAGAGAACCUGCCUUUACCUCGCCUAAAACAGAACUAUCCCGGAGCUCAGCAAAGGAGUCCAUUCAUCCUCUAUAACUGCUAUACAAUAUCUCUGUUAAAAUGCUGAGAAGAUUUAUCCUAAAAGAAGGCACCAAAGCAAUGGGGUUCAUCAACUCAGGAUCCAGUAGUGUAAUACAGAAGCCUGUUACGAGAUAUAAGCAAUUGUAAUGAACAGCAUAACUAUUUGUGUGACUACACUUGGUAUAAUUCUAUUAAGCAUGGAGAUUGCAACUUUUGCAUUAAAUGCAACCACAUACAAUUGGUCAAACAUGGUUGGUAUGAUGCUUUUACAAUAUUUACUACUCUGCACCAUCUUAGAGAUGACCAUUGUAAUCAUAAUCAUCCAGUGGGUUGUAAGAGCAUUUCAUCAUGAAAAACACACUGAAGAAAGUGAGUAACUUUGUUUCUGGCAGUCAAAUCAAGAUAAAGGCAGUUUAUAAUAAGGGCCCUCUCUGAGAGUUCAAAGUUUA